rnacentral:rRNA from 1 species
GAUGAACGCUGGCGGCGUGCCUAAUACAUGCAAGUCGAGCGAACAGACGAGGAGCUUGCUCCUCUGACGUUAGCGGCGGACGGGUGAGUAACACGUGGAUAACCUACCUAUAAGACUGGGAUAACUUCGGGAAACCGGAGCUAAUACCGGAUAAUAUAUUGAACCGCAUGGUUCAAUAGUGAAAGACGGUUUUGCUGUCACUUAUAGAUGGAUCCGCGCCGCAUUAGCUAGUUGGUAAGGUAACGGCUUACCAAGGCAACGAUGCGUAGCCGACCUGAGAGGGGGAUCGGCCACACUGGAGCUGGGACACGGUCCGGACUCCUACGGGAGGCAGCAGUAGGGAAUCUUCCGCAAUGGGCGAAAGCCUGACGGAGCAACGCCGCGUGAGUGAUGAAGGUCUUCGGAUCGUAAAACUCUGUUAUUAGGGAAGAACAAAUGUGUAAGUAACUAUGCACGUCUUGACGGUACCUAAUCAGAAAGCCACGGCUAACUACGU